CUUCCAUUGGAUGUUGAAGAUGGUAACUGGCUCAUAAAAGCAAAGCUUACAGACAAAGAUUACUCAAAGGAAAUCUUUAUCGAUGAAUACAUUAAAUCUGCAAAUGGAACAAUAAGAGGCAAAAUAGUAGUCAAAUUAGGCGAUGACGAUCCAUUUGAUAUAUUUUAUUCAAACGCAAAUCAAUACGAACGAUUAGUUGUUGUUGGAGCUUCAUGUACCUAUUAUGUGUAUCGCAAAAAUGGUAACGGCUGGAAUCAUGCCAGAAGUGCGUUAGGCGAUAGCCUAGCCAAUCAUUUGUUAUUGGUUGGACCUUCAGUUAUAUUCAGAAUAAAUAAUUUCGCACCUGUC